rnacentral:rRNA from 1 species
UACAGAGGGGGCAAGCGUUAUUCGGAAUUACUGGGCGUAAAGAGCUCGUAGGUGGUUUGUCGCGUUGUUCGUGAAAACUCACAGCUCAACUGUGGGCGUGCGGGCGAUACGGGCAGACUGGAGUACUGCAGGGGAGACUGGAAUUCCUGGUGUAGCGGUGGAAUGCGCAGAUAUCGGGAGGAACAUCAGUGGCGAAGGCGGCCUUCUGGUCCAGUACUGACACUCAAGUGCGAAAGCGUGGGGAGCAAACAGG